GAAACUGCUGCUGGGUCUGGAGAGGUGAAGUCCCGUGGCCAGCUUCUGUUGUUGCCAUCUGCCAUUGCUUUUUGUUCACUUGCUUUUGGUUUUGCAAGAAGCAUGGCCUCUGUCUCUGAUCUGCUUCAAGUCAUCAUUCCAUCAGUGACAGAAGUGGCCGUUCCAUCAGUGGUUGCAGCCAGUUCAGCUCCUGCAUCCAUCCCCAAGUGUUCUGAGUGGAAUUUGAGGCCUCCCCAACCACCCACCAAAAAAGGAGGGUGAAAUGAAAGGAAGAAGAAAAACUCAGGAUUCUUUCCUCUGACAAAGAGUAAAACGACAAGGAAUAUCGGCCUGAAUUCUCUUCCCCAAGAAGAAAUCACACCAAUGCAGGCAUUUGUCUUCUGUCCAUGGUGCUGAAGUUUAUUCACUUUCAAACCACUUUCAGUAACAGGUCUGCGUUGGACACGGCAUUGUACACAGGAUUAGCAUUGUACACAGGAUUAGCUCUGGUCUGAUCUAGGAGCUGGAAUGCCAGAAAAAGGAGGAAGCUCACGGUAGUGGUGGAGAAGGAGCUCAUGCUGGCGGCGUCAAGGAGCAAUCCACUACUUGCUGCUCUGUCUCUCCCCUCUGGUUCCUCUCUGGUUCCCCUCUCUUGGCCUACGUCGGUCCCUGUCUCCCAGCUGCCCAGUACCUCCUCUUUUUAUAGUCCCCCAGCUCUCCAAGCACGCAGUAGAGACAGAACCCUCCCCAUUCUGUCACUUGCAGUGAUAAAGCCGCCAAGUGAGAAGCCAGCAGGAGAUGCCCUUUUAAAGUUAUCAUCCUGCAGGGCUUGUCACGGCCCCUCUGCCUUGGGCAGCCCCAACAGCCCCCCAGACCCUCAGCUGCAAGAGCCGCAUUCUUGCUGAUUUGACUCAAGAGGCUCCCACUUCAAAGGUGUGAGAAGAGUAAAAAAGAGUCCUUGGUUAUCUCA
rnacentral:antisense_RNA from 1 species